AAGAAAUUAUAGUUCAACCCUUGAAUGAAUGAUGCUGGUGCUGAAAACAAAUUUAUUGAAGACAUCUUACAAUGGCCACAUGAUUCCAGUAUUUUGCUGCAGAAUUUAAUUUGAAGCACUUUUCACUUGACAAUCUCCAGCUGCUCAUACCAGUGGUGACUCAGUUCAGAUGAGAGGUCAGAGGGAUGGCUGAGUGGAAGAAGGAACAUUGCUGUAGCCAUGAAGUAACCAGUCCAAAACUAACCUAAACCUUUAUGUGUGUGUAUAGGUUUCUAAUCUGGAAUAACUUUAAACACCCUCAUCAUCCCCAGCCGUUGAUUGGGGUUGAAAUAAAAUUGUAUGAGGAAUCAUUAAUAAUCGCUCAACAGAAGUCAAUUUAGAGUUGUCUUAUGGUCUCAAAAGAGACUGUCUGUCUUCUUAACUGCACAACACCACACCUUUAUUUUUUCUGGGUAUUUCUGAGCAGCUUCCUUUUCUCUUUUCCUCUCUGUACUCACUUGUAUUUGCAUUGAUAUUAGUGACAGUUAUGUCUGUGCACCCAUAAGAAGAAUAUAUCUCUCUGUCUUGCCCCUUGUUACUUUGAUAAUUCAAACCUUACUAUUUUCACCAUUAAACUAUUAUUGUUGUUAAGUGACUCAUUGUAAGAUACAACAAAUAUAAAACCCAUAAUAGUUGCAAUUCAUAUUUCACGUGAUCAUCAUUUAUCUAAGAAAAUCUAAGUGGAACAGUGAAUAAACCAAGAAUGAAGUUUUAUAGUUGUACAGAAAAAGUAUUUGACAUUAAGGAACAAAUAUAUACUACUAUCCAAAAAAAGUAAUUUGUGCUAAAUCUUUAGUUGCUUGUUUGGCCAAAAUGUAACAAGGAUAGACCCACAAUACUUAUGAUGGAACACUUUCAGAAAUUUUUGCCCAAAGCUACAAGGAGUAAACCUUAAUUCAUCACUCUGCAAAGUAAAUUGCAGUACAGCUGCUGAUUUGGGAAUAUACAAAACACACUAAAUAUAAUCACAACUUCUGAUCUUUUGUCUUUAACUAACUCCUAAACACUUUAACCUAGCUAUAGCUAACUUUAUUGAUAUUGUUACAGCACUGAGUGGUUCAUGCACUGGAACCCAAGAAGUGGGUUAUUUCUGUUAGGACAGAAAAAUAAGUAGAUGGCAAAUGUAGGCUUAUUAAAUUAUCCUAAUCUACUUUUCUUUACAAAUGUACAAUUCCUGAUAAUAGGAUAUGAACAGACAGCACAACUCCUCACAGCAACUCUCCCUGGCUAUUUUCCAGAAUCAGAGUAAUGUUCUCAAACCUCAUGCACCAUGGGCCUGAUUCACAACUGCCUUGGAUUUUGCAUAGUCAUCUACACCUCUGCAGAGUGAGCAUAAAAUGCUGCCAUAUUAGAAUGGCACCAUUUUACACCCACCUUGAACUGUGUCUACACAGACUUCACAAAGUACAAAGCAGUGGUGAAUCAAGCCCACCCCAAACUAUUAAAAUCCCUAAAAAAAAUAGAGCAAGUAAUUUUGUUGAAUAAAACUCUUAUUUUAUAUAGUCUAUAUGAGGAUUAGAGAAGUAGAUAUAUAUCCCCAUCACUCAAACCAUUCAACUCCCAGACUUUAAUUUUGCUAGCUAGAGAGGUAAAAAGCUGAUCAUCUUCAGAGAUAGUCUAUGUUAAAACUACUAAGAUCACUGCAUUUCUGGGAUAUGCUAUUAAAUGCAUUCAUAUAAUUUUAGGUGGUAUACUCUCUUCAUGUGCUCAUUAAUGUUAUCAGGAAUUCUGUAGUGUCCUUGGUAGAAUACACUUCUGUAAAUUGUAAAUGUUGUACAUAUUUAGGAGAAAUCCUGCCUUUUUAAAAAUUGUUUUUAUUGUAGUUUUAUUACUAUUACUUAUAUUAGAAAAGUAUACAUUUGAAACAUGCAAUAAUCAUAGUAAAACCAAUCUCUACUCAACUUUUGUUUAUUGUUAGAGUUGCAAAGGACCAUUAUACACAUUAUCACCAGGAUCUGUGUAACAUUUUUGAGCAAUGUAGAGAGUGUUUAAAUAACUCACCACCCUCUGUUAGGACUUAAUGAGAAAAAUCUUGCCAAAUAGUUGGAUGACAUUACACAAAUUAGACACAGGCCUAAAGCCUAUUUUUGCAGGUGAGAUAUAACAGAUGAAUAUCUAUACGACCCCAGGCAGCACAAAGAACAUUAUUUAAACAGACCCCUGCUGCCAAGGUUUAGUCCCAAACACUCUCCUAGAUAUAGUGCAAGUUUCACAAUAUAGUGGGGACUGCAGGUGUUUUCAAACAGUUCCGGCUACACAUUUGUAACUCCAGCUGAAGCAAUGGUGCCAUGGAGUUUUACUAUUCUGACUAUAUGGGAAACAUCCAACGAAGUCAAAAGAGGAAUACAGUUUUAAAGCUCUAUCCAGUCACUUCAGUCAAAUAUUCAGGUUGCGUUAGGCUCUGACUCUAAUAUGUCUAAUAAAUGUCAGCCUGCCAGCUGAUCUUUUCUAAUUUUCUCCCUUGGAUUUCCUGGUAGACUUGGGUCCCAGAAUAUGCAAGUUAUGUUUCAGUCACAUUUUUAAUUUUGCUCAAGUUGUUUCAGCAUUUUUUAAAAGAUGAUCUAGACAUCUAUGUCGCACUCAUCACCACGGUAUCUGAGUGUAGUUUGUUAAGUCCUCUUGGGGGUGAGGACAGACGUACAAGCUGCCUGAAAUCACCUCCAGCUCUGCCAGAACAGCUGUAAAAGCAGGUGACGCUGACCAUGGAGGGGCUAAUUCCAGGGCAACCGAGAGCUUUGCUGAUUCACUGCAUCUUCUAGGCAGCUUUGCCAAGCUGCUGUUUAACAUCAUACACCAAUAUCACAAUACCAUUUAGAAGAGGAAGUAAAGGUU